UUUGUUUUUCCCUUUUUCCCCCUUUUCCCUCUCCUCCCUCCCCAGACUCACCCCGCUGCCAGCAAGCUGCCCCUGAAGGACAGCUUCACGUUUGAUGACUACAGGUGGGCGGUGUCUUCAGUGAUGACACGGCAGAACCAGAUCCCCACUGAGGACGGGGGCCGCAUCACUCUGGCCCUCAUCCCCCUGUGGGACAUGUGUAACCACACCAAUGGACUGAUCACCACCGGAUACAACCUUGAGGAUGACCGCUGUGAAUGUGUGGCCCUACAGGACUACAAAGAGAACGAACAGGUGAACA